rnacentral:rRNA from 1 species
GACGAACGCUGGCGGCGUGCUUAACACAUGCAAGUCGAACGGUAAGGCCCUGCUUUUGUGGGGUGCUCGAGUGGCGAACGGGUGAGUAACACGUGAGUAACCUGCCCUUGACUUUGGGAUAACUUCAGGAAACUGGGGCUAAUACCGGAUAGGAGCUCCUGCUGCAUGGUGGGGGUUGGAAAGUUUCGGCGGUUGGGGAUGGACUCGCGGCUUAUCAGCUUGUUGGCGGGGUAGUGGCUUACCAAGGCUUUGACGGGUAGCCGGCCUGAGAGGGUGACCGGCCACAUUGGGACUGAGAUACGGCCCAGACUCCUACGGGAGGCAGCAGUGGGGAAUAUUGCACAAUGGGCGGAAGCCUGAUGCAGCAACGCCGCGUGCGGGAUGACGGCCUUCGGGUUGUAAACCGCUUUCGCCUGUGACGAAGCGUGAGUGACGGUAAUGGGUAAAGAAGCACCGGCUAACUACGUG